UGAUUUAAAUUCUGAACUCUGGUUUGUCUCUGUGGCACGAGCAGGAUAUUUAAUCAUUUAAGCGGUCCAAUAAUUCUAUAAGAAAAUGGUGCUAUUGAAACACAUGUUGAAACAGUAGUGGCAAAAAAAUGGGGCAAAUUCUUGCAGCCUGUCCAAAUGAUCCAAACUACACAGAGAGCACAGUGAACCAUGGCAGGGUGUAAGGACACACCUUCCACACACACACACACACAGACACACACACACACACACACUGCUAGGCUGCGUUUAGAUCCACCUGUUCACGCGCCUUCCUGCGCUCUCUGAUAGGUUUGUCAGGGAGAGAAAACAGCAUUUAUUAACGCCUGUGCGCGCCAAGUGACUCGGAGCGCCUCUUCAUAAACACCAUGACGGCACAGACCGAGCACAGCUCCAUCCGCCGCGGCUGAAUGGAUUACCUCCAGACGCACCUCGUCUCCCGGAUUGCGCAGAAGCUCCUCGUCUUCAGUCAUCUGGCAGAGAGAGACCGCUGCCUCUCUGUGAUUACACGGUCACCUCACCAACACCGUGGACGCUGAACCGCCGUCGAUCAUGCCAAGCGCACUGAUUUGAGAGCAGCUUUGACUUUUUCAGAGCGGGAGCAGCGGUGCCGGGCGGACGCGCUGCUGAUCAUUGAGAGAGGGGAUUUUUUUGUUUGUUUUUUUGCAACAAUUAGUUGCAAACAUUGUGAGGGGUGAAGUCAUGGUGCCGGUACCGAACCAGCUUCUCAUGGCACCGUGAGAACUUUGUCCCUGACUCCCCCCUUCUCUCCCCCCUCCCCGCUUUUCUUUUUGUUUUAGAUGUUUGUCAGCGGGAUCGUGCUUCUUUGGGAAAUUAUCCACCGUUUCCCUUUUCAAUUAUGUUCACUUUUGCUGCCUUCUGCUACAUGCUGUCUCUGGUCCUCUGCGUAUCCCUGAUCUUUUUUGCAAUAUGGCACAUAACAGCUUUUGAUGAGCUCCAGGCUGACUUCAAGGUGCCGAUCGAUCAGGGCAAUCCACUUCAUGCGAGGGAGCGGCUGCGGAACAUCGAGAGGAUCUGCAACCUGCUGAGGAAGUUGGUGCUACCAGAGUACUCCAUCCAUGGACUCUUCUGCAUCAUGUUCCUGUGCGCCCAGGAGUGGCUGACUGUAGGCCUCAACAUCCCCCUGCUCUUCUACAACACGUGGAGUAGGUACUUCCAUUCGCCAACGGACACUAAGGAGCUGCUCUACGAUCCGGCAUCCGUGAUGAACGGUGACACACUCAAGUUCUGCCUGAAGGAGGCCUGGUGCAAGCUGUCCUUUUUUGUCCUCUCCUUCUUCUACUAUCUCUACUGUGUGUGGAACCUGGACAUAUCCCUCUAAUAGGUCUUAUCAAUGGAAACACUUAAAGCUCAUGUUGGACUGAUCUGCUGUUUUAAGACCACCGGCAGCAGCAGCAGCAGCAGCAGUGAGUAUGAUCUACUCCUUGGUUACCUCAUAACAACUGAUAUAUCAGCAACUGGAGAGAAACAAAACUAUGGAUACACAGACGGCCUUUGUCUCGGCCUAGAAUUGAAAUACAGGAAAAUUUAAAAAGUAAAGAAGAGAAAGAAAACCUGAUUUUUUUCUUUUCUUUUUUCUUUUUUUUCCC